AGUAGUCAUAUGCUUGUCUCAAAGAUUAAGCCAUGCAUGUCUAAGUAUAAACAACUUUAUACUGUGAAACUGCGAACGGCUCAUUAUAUCAGCAAUAAUUUAUUUGAUGGUUCCUUACUACACGGAUAACUGUAGUAAUUCUAGAGCUAAUACGUGCGUAAAAUCCCGACUCUUGCGGGGAGGGAUGUAUUUAUUAGAUAAAAAGCCAGCGCGGGUUCUGCCCGGUUUUGUGGUGAAUCAUAGUAACUUUUCGAAUCGCAUGGCUUCACGCCGGCGAUAGUUCAUUCAAAUUUCUGCCCUAUCAGCUUUCGACGGUAGUGUAGUGGACUACCGUGGCAUUAACGGGUAACGGAGAAUUAGGGUUCGAUUCCGGAGAGGGAGCCUGAGAAACGGCUACCACAUCCAAGGAAGGCAGCAGGCGCGCAAAUUACCCAAUUCUGACACAGAGAGGUAGUGACAAAAAAUAACAAUACCUGGCUUCUUUAGGUCGGGUAAUUGCAAUGAGUACAAUUUAAAUCCCUUAACGAGGAUCCAUUGGAGGGC
rnacentral:rRNA from 1 species